AAAGUUUUAUUUUGACUUGAAAUUUUAAUUUAUCAUUAUUUUAUAUGUGUUUUUUAGAUUAAAAAUUUUAUUUGCAGUAUUUAAUAUUAAAUAAUUAUUUAAGUAAGUUUUAGUAAUUGAUUAAAGAACUAAUAAAAUUUGUGCCAGCAAUUGCGGUUAUACAAAUGGUUUAAUUAAAAUUUAUUGGUUAAUAAUUAAUUUUGUUUAUUAGAAUUUAAAAUUAAAAUUUUAAGGUGAAAUUUAAAUUUUAAUUUAUUUUCUUUUUUUUGAUUUGAGGUUAUUAAAGUUAGUAUUAAACUAGGAUUAGAUACCCUAUUAUUUUAACUGUAAAAUUUUAUACUAGAUUAGUAUUAGUUAUUUUCUUGAAAAUUAAAAAAUUUGGCGGUAUCUUAGUCUAUUCAGAGGAACCUGUCCUGUAAUUGAUAAUCCACGAUUAGUUUUACUUUUCUUUUUCUUGUAUAUCGUUGUUUUUGAAUAUUUUAUAAGAAUUUAAAUUUUCAAUAAGUAUAUAUUAGUUUAUUUCAGAUCAAGGUGCAGAUUAUAGGAAAGAAGAGAUGGGUUACAAUAAAAUUAUUUUUUGUUUAAUAUUUUAAAUAGUUUUAUUAAAUUGGAUUUGAUAGUAAUAUUUUAUAUAUUUGAUAUGUGAUUUUAGCUCUAAGAUGUGUACAUAUUGCCCGUCGCUCUCAUUAUUUUGAGAUAAGUCGUAACAAAGUAGAUUUACUGGAAAGUGUAUCUAGGAUUAAUAAU
rnacentral:ncRNA from 1 species